rnacentral:rRNA from 1 species
AGAAUGAACGCUAGCGAUAUGCUUAACACAUGCAAGUUGAACGUUGUUUUCGAAUCAGAAUGAGAACAAAGUAGCGAACGGGUGCGUAACACGUGGGAAUCUGCCGAACAGUUUGGGCCAAAUCCCGAAUGAAUAAAAGCUAAAAAGCGCUGUUUGAUGAGCCCACGUAGUAUUAGGUAGUUGGUUAGGUAAAAGCUGACCAAGCCUACGAUGCUUAGCUGGUCUUUUCGGAUGAUCAGCCACACUGGGACUGAGACACGGCCCAGACUCCUACGGGAGGCAGCAGUGGGGAAUCUUGGACAAUGGGUGAAAGCCUGAUCCGGCAAUAUGGCGUGAGUGAAGAAGGGCAACGCAGCUUGUAAAGCUCUUUCAUCGAGUGUGCGAUUGGUGACAAGACUACGAAUAAGAACGCCCCGGCUAACCUCCGCGCCAGCAGCCGC